ensembl:lncRNA
GCCGGGGCCGCCGGCCUCCCCCGGGCCGCGGUUGCGGGCCGUCGCCAGGAUCCCUGCGCUCCGUGCGACUGCGCCUGGCCUUGUAGUUGCUUCCGACCUAGGUUCCGUAGCCAGAAAGACUGUUCCUGUAAAGGUGCCCUCACUCACUCUCGGGGCUCGAGGCAGCGGACGCUGGUGGUUUUCUCAUUCCAAGAAGGAAGGACUGCCUGGGCGCACUGCCCCGCAGUCGGUGAAUAUGGGUCUCUGCUGCUGAUUUUUUGUACCGCAGAUGGAUGCCUGUUGUUAUAAAUGAUAGAAAACGCGAACAAAGCUGAUGGUAAAGUCACAGCCUUUUUGGAGUAGUGCUGAAAUACUCUUCUGAAACCUGGUGCCUGGGGCAAUGUGAUGCUGGGGUUUUUUAUUACUGUGGGAGAGAGCAGUGUGGUAAAGUUUAAUUCUGUGCUAAUGUAUCUCUUCCUUGAGUGCAGUGUGCAGGCAGCCCUAAACAGAGAAAUGCACUGCAUUGAUAGAUGCCUUUGAUGUGAUUAAGACAUUCCCGGUAAAUGAUUCACCAGAUGGCACAUCAAAGGAAGCUGCUCAAAUAGCAUUUCAGUGCUUCAGAUAAUCUCUGAAGUGUGUGGGCUACCGGCCGGGCUGCAACUUCUUGCUCAGCUUCUUUGUCCAGUGUCACCUUGACUGGCUGCGGCUGCCCAGUUUGUUGCGAUGUGGUACAGAAGCACGAGGAGGGACAUCCAGGGGGGAUAGCUUUGAACCAUGCUCACCUCAGGUCCUGGGGUUCCUGACUGUUUCUUUGUUGGAGGAGAACUUCAGCAGGACCAGACGUACAGCUGUGACCCUGCUUUGGCACCCAUUUUCUCAGCUGCUAUUCCUUGUUCCAUUAUCUUCUCUGUUGUCUCCAUCCUGCACUACUUCUCCAGGUCAAUACUGAUGCUGGGGGAGAUGCAGAUGGAAGUGAGGUACGCUCAGCCUGGUGGGCUGCUGCCUGGGGAUCCAUCCACAUCUGGCAACACUGACCAUAAUGUGAGCCUUUGUGGUCCUGGGAAUAGCAAACAUGGAUGGCUGUGAGGAAGCCAGGUCAGCUGCAGGCUGAACUAUGUGGCCUAGAUCAGUUACAUCCGAAGUACUCAGUAAUUCUCCAUCCAAGAUUUCUCUAACUUGUACUGUAGAUGUUUGUUUUGCUGGAUUAGGAUUCUAUUCAUCAUCUCCUGGGUAAUCCCAUCUGGAUGUGCAGUUCAGUUGUUUUUUCAGUAGUCACUGAGGAGCAGUCUCACCUUGUGUGUGUUCUGCAGUGGAGAACGUGCAUCAUCCAUUACAUGUCUGAGCUUCAUCCCCUGUGAUUUAAAUCUGGAGUGGGUAGAGCCCAAUGCUGUCGCUCACAUAAAGCCCAAAUGUACACAGCCAUAAUGUAUGACUCACCUCUGAAAUUUUGCCAGGUGCUGGGGAGGCAUUAUCCUAUUUAUUUGUAUGCAUCUCUUUCUUUCAAGAUCUCUUUUAAACACUUUGCAGUAAGACUUCCAGAAGGGUAAAUGUUAUUUAAGUGAAGUCAGCAUGUCCCAGCCUGCCUGCUGCAGUGUGGAAAAUGUUCACAAUAUUCAGCUUUUUCAGGCAGUGAUCUGUACUUGCCAUGCCUCGUCCGAUAGCUGCUGAUUUUGCGUGGAAACUGAUAAGCAGACCUCUUCCUGCGUAAAUCAUACUUCAGAAGAGAAGUAAAUUUUGUUUGGUGGACAAUUCCGCUUUACUGAAGGUGGCUGAGAGAAACCAGUUUGCUCUGCAAUAACUACGCAUGUUGUUUAUCUUCCAAUUUUUUCCCAUCCUAGACAAGGAGAAUAGGUGAGUCAGUUCUGUUUUAUUUGUAGCCACUUUCCCCUUCAGGCUCACAAUGCUGAAAUGUUUGUGGGUUUUUUUUUUUUUCUUGUGGCAUAGAGCUGGAUCCACUACGAACAGCUUCGCUGCAUUCAUCAGCCUCUGCUCUCCCUUGUUUGCUCACUGGUUGGUUUUGAAGAGGAGUGUCGGAGAGGCUUGUCCCCAUGAAGAGCCUCCUGAAGUCAGUCCCAGAAUCUGCAGUGCGUGACGUGACAAAUGCUUCCUGUUUUGUCUCUUUUGAGGUCUUGUGGAGACACUGUGUCCACAUCCAGCGUCUUCUCAGCUGGAGGAAGGCUUCUCGUUGAAGCUGCCAACCACCUGUGAGGAUCCUUGUCCAAUAGGAGGCUUCUGAGGAACGUGACUUUGCCACCUGUGUGAGGACCACAGCUGAAUCAACUUCAAAACCAGUGCCCCAGGUCUCCCAGGCAGAAGCAGAGGAAUAUCUGGGAUUGGUCUACCUUGGCUAACUGUGCUUCAUAACUUGUUUGUGCAUGAGCAUCUUGAAAAGAGAGAGGAUCGUGGAACUGCAGUUUGAAGUCACACAGUGUCAUUCAACUUUUAAUGUUCUCAGGUUUGAACUCAGAAACUGUUUUCCAAAUUCACGUGGCAGUGGAUUUUUUGCAACUUGUGAUUUCUGUUACAAAACAUCCUUGGAGUGCAUUUAUCCCACAUCUGGUGUCUUUAAGGGACUAAAGUAUUUCAGUUUGAGAUGGGACUGACUUAAGGUUCCAAUACUGGGCAGAGAUAGUUUCUGUACUCUUAUCUGGGAAAAGGAAAACUAAUUCCUUGUUCUUUUUCAUCCUUUUACUGUUUCUUUUGGAAAUCCAAUGGGAAUAUGAAGUUGUUGCCAAAAUAGUUCAUUGAGGCCCCUUGUAUUUAUGUUUAAUUAGUGGUGCCAUAAAUAUUACAGAAAAGCAUCGCACAGAGGGGUGAGCCCAGUGCCAUUUGGAGCACUGGAGCAGCAGAAUGAGGGCUGCAAAAUGUUUAGUAAUGAAAUGAGAACAGAAGAUAAAGAAGCUCUCAAGGUAGACCUAAUCUGUGUAAACCUGAAAAAACAAGUGCUUAUGCUAAGCUACUUUGGCCUCUGUGUCUAAUUGUCAGAGAAAGGUAUGGAUGAUGCAUCCUAAAUAAUUUAGGCACUCGCACAUUUUGGGAUGAUACGUUCACUGUCUGAGUCCAUGACCGCCCUAGAGAAGAUGCCUGCUUUCAGACUGCUCAGAUGAAACGCAGCCUUCGAACUUUGCUUUUGUGAAGCCUUAGCAGGGUUAGGUGGUAGCUUAUUGCUGUUGGCUGGAUGAUUAAUUUUCACAUUAACCAGACAAAACUGAAGCAGAAAUGCAAGACAGUAAGUUAGUAACCUUGUUUAAUUUGUUUCGUAGGACUCAGUGUUGGCUUUCUGUCCAGCUAAACCAUUGGUUAGACUAAAUGACCCCAGCUGGCUGAAAUGAAGGGACGAGUUACUGGUGGUAACAGCUGUGCCUUUUAGGUUAGCUCGUCUCCAGUAAGUGUGCAGGUAAACACCCCAAAUCCCAGAGUUUCUGCCUGGUUAACCCGUGGUUUGCUUUUCAAUUUAAAAUGAACUCAGUAGAAACCAGUUAUUAAAAGCCUUGCAAAUUCUUUUCCAGGCAUCCAGUACAAACCUUCCUACAUUUCCACCUAGGUGAAAUCUGAAUAGGGAUUGAAUAGAUUUCUACUGGCACACUCUGAUGAUAUUCAAGGAGUAGGUGUAGCAAGCUGUGGGAACCAAGAAAUUAAGGAAAAUAUUGCAGCGCUGUCAAGAGUAGGUGUAGACAUUUUGUACCUGCUAAACUAAAGCGAUGGGCCUAGCAUUUAAAAUAAUAUGCUGAUGUAACGCUCCAGAGGAGGGGUGAUUUGGGCAGACAAUGAUCUUUCCUCUGCUGUGCCGUUUCCCUGACGCUAGAAGGAAGCUAAAUGCUUUGCAUUGCAAACAGAGUGGAAAAUAAAGGAUGUGCGAAGGCAGG